UACGUAGGGUGCGAGCGUUAAUCGGAAUUACCGGGCGUAAAGCGUGCGCAGGCGGUUUUGUAAGCCAGAUGUGAAAUCCCCGGGCUUAACCUGGGAAUGGCAUUUGGGACUGCAAGGCUUGAGUGCGGCAGAGGAGACUAGAAUUCCUGGUGUAGCAGUGAAAUGCGUAGAUAUCAGGAGGAAUACCGAUGGCGAAGGCAGGUCUCUGGGCUGACACUGACGCUCAUGCACGAAAGCGUGGGGAGCAAACAGG
rnacentral:rRNA from 1 species